UCUAACACUGCUGUGGGUUAUGCAGCUUCUCAUAAACAAACUAGCCUGCCAAAUGUUAAAUUGUGUGGCUUCGGGACGACUUUAAGGAGGAUUAACAUCAAACCGUCACCUGUCCUGCUGUUUGUGAUGCUAGCCUCGGACCUUGCAACAUCAUCCCAGAGGACUUCGGAUGAUAGCAACACUUCACCUGGCUAAAGGAUCUGAUCCUGGACCAUCCCUUCUUCCUGCCAGAUUGGCAGACGUUGUGUUACAGCCAUCAUACGUCUGACGUCUGCCCAGUAAGCUGCACAGUUGCAUUAGCAGUGGUUGCUGAUUUUUGGUGAGGCAUCCUGACUUUGCUAGUCAGGCUGCAGUCUGCCUCACAUGUUUACUUUAAGAGAACUUGUGAUUUCUGCACAUGGUGCACCUGACCUGUCAGAUGGACUGAACC